rnacentral:rRNA from 1 species
CCUACGGGUGGCAGCAGUGGGGAAUAUUGGGCAAUGGAGGCAACUCUGACCCAGCAACGCCGCGUGAAUGAUGAAGGUCUUCGGAUUGUAAAGUUCUUUUCUAAGGGAAGAAGAUAGUGCCGGUACCUUAGGAAUAAGCCUCGGCUAACUACGUGCCAGCAGCCGCGGUAAUACGUCGGAGGCAGGCGUUAUCCGGAAUGACUGGGCGUAAAGGGUGCGUAGGUGGCUUGACAAGUUAGUAGCGAAACUCCGGGGAUCAACUUCGGAACUACUACUAAAACUGGUGGACGUGAGUGCAGGAGGGGCAAGCGGAAUUCCUAGUGUAGCGGUGGAAUGCGUAGAUAUUAGGAGGAACACCAGUGGCGAAGGCGGAUUGCUAGACUGUAACUGACGCUGAGGCACGAAAGCGUGGGGAGCAAACAGGAUUAGAUACCCCGGUAGUC